rnacentral:lncRNA from 1 species
UAGCCAUUUGAAAUAUCUAGUGAAGACUGUUAGUUCUUUUCACAUUUGAAUGAGCUUUGCUCAUGUGUGCCUCAGUUUGACUCAAGUUUCUCAAUCUGUUUGUUUUUCUUUCUUUUUUUUUUUUUUUUUUGAAACAUUCCUGGUGUUAUGUCAAUGAAACACUAUAUAACUGCAGUCUUAAGACAAUCAGCAGAACAUCUGAGUCAUAACUAAAACCCAACCCAGGAAUUUGAAAUGCAAAUAAACCAUUUUUUUCUUGAAUUUUCUAAACCAGAAGUACAUAGUAAAUACAAUCCAGUAAUACAAAUGGUUAAAGAGCCUGGAACUUUAACGUAAGCUUUAUUUUCUUUUACAGUGCUGAGUUCAUAAAACACUUUCUGCAUGAUGCUGUUUACUUUCAAUAAUUUGAAAGCUAUCUCUAACCCUUGUGAGUCAGAAGAACGGACUGAAUCAGAAAUGCAAUAACUUUGAUCACAUAACAGCACAAUGAUCAUAAGCUUUUUUUCUUUUACUAAUAUUGAAUGCAAACUCCGAGAGAUGGCGAAGGACAGGGAAGCCUGGCAUGCUACAACCCAUGGGGUCUUGAAGAGUCAGACACGACUUAGUGACUGAACAACAACAACAACCGGACUAUAAGAUAAAAAUAAAAUAUUAAAUAAGCAUCACCCAGAUCACCCAGCCUUCUUAGUGAUUCUUUCUGACCUUGCUCCAAGAUCAAGUCCCAAAUUCAGAAAGAACACUUGGAAAUGGUAUGUAUCUGUCAUAUAAGAGGUACGUAUUUGAUCUCUACCCUGUUUCCUGGUACCUGGAAUCUCUGAAGUGGUACAUG